AUGUAUGUAAAAUAUAAUAGAUCUAAUCUAUUAUCUUGCAAGUUAGACAUUCUAACUUUGCUGAUCCGGGCUUGAAGAUGAUGUUGUAAGCCACACAUGCAUCCAACCUCUAGGAGUCAUCCACAUGAGCCCACGAAUCACGAUCAGAAGUCCUGGUCCAAGAAAUCAACACAGUAUGCUAAUACUAUGCUGAUCCUUCUUUGAUGGUCGAUCAGAUGCCUCCUUCUCUUGAUUUAGACUCUUUCAAAGAUGACAAGUAGGAGAAAGAGUUUUAGAUAUGAGACACUCUCAGAAAACUCAUAGA
rnacentral:lncRNA from 1 species